rnacentral:tRNA from 1 species
GCAGUGGUGUUUCAGUGAUAGGAUUCUCACCUUCCAUGUUAGAGACCGGGUUCAAUUCCCGGCCACUGCA